rnacentral:lncRNA from 1 species
GAAACAGAGGAAACUGAAAAUGGUAAUAAUGAUGUAUCUCGUCCCUAAAGAGGCUAAUGAUCAGCCGAAGGAACUACUAUACUAGAAACAAGCUUCUAAAAGGCUAUUGCAGAAUGGGAUACGGGUACUGAUGCGGGUCCUCUUGUAACUAGGCCUAGGCAUAUUCGGUUUGAAUCUCUUCAUAAAGAAGGAAGAAACUAUGCCUGGCAGCAUUGGGUGAAUGGAGGUAGAAACAGAGGAAACUGAAAAUGGUAAUAAUGAUGUAUCUCGUCCCUAAAGAGGCUAAUGAUCAGCCGAAGGAACUACUAUACUAGAAACAAGCUUCUAAAAGGCUAUUGCAGAAUGGGAUACGGGUACUGAUGCGGGUCCUCUUGUAACUAGGCCUAGGCAUAUUCGGUUUGAAUCU